CCUACGGGCGGCUGCAGUGGGGAAUAUUGGACAAUGGGGGCAACCCUGAUCCAGCCAUGCCGCGUGUGUGAAGAAGGCCCUCGGGUUGUAAAGCACUUUCAGUGAGGAAGAACGCCUGGUGGUUAAUACCCAUCAGGAAAGACAUCACUCACAGAAGAAGCACCGGCUAACUCCGUGCCAGCAGCCGCGGUAAUACGGAGGGUGCGAGCGUUAAUCGGAAUUACUGGGCGUAAAGCGCGCGUAGGUGGCUUGAUAAGCCGGUUGUGAAAGCCCCGGGCUCAACCUGGGAACGGCAUCCGGAACUGUCAAGCUAGAGUGCGGGAGAGGAAGGUAGAAUUCCCGGUGUAGCGGUGAAAUGCGUAGAGAUCGGGAGGAAUACCAGUGGCGAAGGCGGCCUUCUGGACUGACACUGACACUGAGGUGCGAAAGCGUGGGUAGCAAACAGGAUUAGAUACCCGAGUAGUC
rnacentral:rRNA from 1 species